GAUGAACGCUAGCUAUAGGCUUAACACAUGCAAGUCGAGGGGCAGCAUGGUCUUAGCUUGCUAAGGCCGAUGGCGACCGGCGCACGGGUGAGUAACACGUAUCCAACCUGCCGUCUACUCUUGGACAGCCUUCUGAAAGGAAGAUUAAUACAAGAUGGCAUCAUGAGUCCGCAUGUUCACAUGAUUAAAGGUAUUCCGGUAGACGAUGGGGAUGCGUUCCAUUAGAUAGUAGGCGGGGUAACGGCCCACCUAGUCUUCGAUGGAUAGGGGUUCUGAGAGGAAGGUCCCCACAUUGGAACUGAGACACGGUCCAAACUCCUACGGGAGGCAGCAGUGAGGAAUAUUGGUCAAUGGGCGAGAGCCUGAACCAGCCAAGUAGCGUGAAGGAUGACUGCCCUAUGGGUUGUAAACUUCUUUUAUAAAGGAAUAAAGUCGGGUAUGGAUACCCGUUUGCAUGUACUUUAUGAAUAAGGAUCGGCUAACUCCGUG
rnacentral:rRNA from 1 species